UUUUUUUCGUACCUACUGUUAGUUCAAAGGCUAGAAUCUGCAAUAAACUUAGAGGUAGAACGUCGUUUUUUACUCCUCGUUGUUACACUCUGUCGAUUAUCAUGAGAGACUGAGAUCUGUUUUUUAUUUUUUUUUUGUCCGGUGUCGGAUAGGCGCCUCGUCAAAAGUCUUUCAGUUUAUGGCUCAACGCAGUAACCUUCAGAGCUUUUAUCUCGCACUAGACAUUCUUCAAAUGUAGAAACCAGAUCAUCAUCUACCAUGUAUUUUUUCUAUUAGUCUGACAGCCUCUAAAAAUUUUACACCCCUACGAGCCAAUCGAAAAUUAGAAUCGCAGCAUCUAAUAAUAAAGCACCCAUAUUUUCGUAAAAUGAACUUUUUUUUGUGAACGAACAAUAAAUCAUAACAAUUAUUAAAGUUAAUCAUUUUUUAACAUACUUUUCUAGUUUUUAAAACUUCAGUUGUAUUGCUUGUUCUAAUUUUCAAAUUUAUUUUUAUGCUUCCUGAUAAAAACAAUUUUGUU
ensembl:lincRNA linc-130 ncRNA